GGCUCUGAGCCAUCAGCCCAGAACCUGACACGGGGCUCGAACUCACGGACCGCGAGAUCGUGACCUGGCUGAAGUCGGACGCUUAACCGACUGCGCCACCCAGGCGCCCCUGUGUUAGGAUGUUUUUAAAUGGCAGCCCAGUGACCCAGGCUGGCUCAGCAGACUUGUUUGGUUUAGCCAACCAUGUUUUAAAUGCUUGAUGCAACAUUUUUAAGUUGGGAGAGUUCACAUAAAAAUGCAGAUUUGGGGGGCUCUCUUGGAAUAGAUGUGGCAAUACUGGACCUGCCUUUCCCACACAGCACUUAACUGGCUGAAGCUGUGACAGCUGCCUGCUUUAGAUGCACCACGUUCCACCCAGUCUGCCACCCCCCCCCCCCCCCCCCCCCGCCAGCAGGUGCAGAUGUGGGCACCUGUAGCCCGGAUGACAGGGCCUGGGAUCCGGCUGGCUCCUGAAGGAACCUGUGACCUCAAAAUACAUGAACACCCACCCGAGGGCGAUGCUCAUCCCAUCGUUUAUUCUGAUUUUUAGCAGCUUGGUGAGAUGAGAAUUGUUUCCAUCUUCUAAGAGGAUGCAAGGAGGUGUCCCAUGAACCCCUAGGAUCUCAGCAGGAAUUCAAACCCAAGUCGGCCUGCCUGGAAGCCUGGGCUUUUGUUCUUAGCCAGACCGUCUCCACUGCCACUGACUGCCAAGCUCUCCUUGUGUCUGAAGGACGUUGUGACUUCCUUGUUACGUCACCCACUCAGUCACAGUUGGGCUGAGAGCAGAGUGUGGCCCGGCCCCCCAGGUCCCCAGGGCAGCCCUGCCAGCCCGGCACAGGCAGGCCCGGCUUAGCCACACGCGCACCAUGAAGUACCCGCUGGUGCCACUGGUGGACGACCUCACGUUUUCUUUCCUGGUGUUCUGGCUCUGCCUGCCCGUGGGCUUGCUGUUGGUCUUGCUGAUUGUCUGGCUACGCUUCUUACUUAGCCAAGAAUAACCCUGUGAAGUAACCCUUAUCGUACAAUUGAGGAAACUGAGGCUUGGGGAGAGAAGCAACGUGCCCAGGUCACACACCUGUGAAGUGCUUACGAGUGCCGGUUAUCUGGCGUCACCUCCUGCCUCUGCUGCCUACCAGCUCUGUGACUUGGGGCAAGUCCUCUCAGCCUUGGGUUCCUCAUCGACGGAAUGGAGAUAAUAAGGGGCCCUUCCAUUUGGGGCUGUGGAGAGAGCAUGUCGAGGGUAGGGGAUCCAGCACACACGUGGCACAUAGUAGGUGCUUAUAGGCUGAGAAACUAUCCAGUCAGUGUUUGCUUUUCGUCAUGGUAGGAGGACGUGUAGGCACGGCUUUGGAUGGCUCCUCCGAGGAGAGUCAUCUGCCUAAGGUCUCCGAGGAGAGUGCUCCUGUCUAAGGUCUAGGGCACUAAUCUCCAGCACUCCAUUCUCCUUGAAGGCCCUGCUCUAAAACCAUCCACAGCCUUCCCUGUCCUCAGACUUUCUCCGACAUCUCACACGGCCCCUUGCAAUAAGGCCUUUGGUCAUUUGCAGUGACCGGAAUGUGGGGCGAGCUGUCUUCCCGCAGGGUCCCAGUCUUCUUGGAACUCUUAGAGUUACUGCGUCGGUCCUGUCCUUGUGCCAGGGUCUGGACCUGCCAAGAAUUGAGGGACCUGUUCUCAGGACACCCUGGCCUAUUCUGCUGUGGAUCUUGUUAUCGGAACUCGUUUGGCCUGGCAUCCAGUGUGAAAAGCAGACAGGACUGGCUCUGAUUCCUCCUUCCCACCCCCAUCCGGCCUGGCUCAGCAGGGCAGUGCCAGGGCCCAGAAGGCAGACGGUUUGAGCAGGGAGUGCCACGUGGCCCGUGAGGACGAGCCUUCUCAAGUAGACAGGGGAACAAGGGGAGGAGAAGGGGAACCGCCUGGCAAGAUGGCCGUUGAGGCGAGAAAAUGUUGUGGGUGGCUGAGCCCUGCAGAAGCUGGCCAGUGGGGACAACACUAAUCCUGGACCAUGACAUUAAGGAGAGGAUGAAGCCACAUGGUGCCCUUCAAGCGGAAGGUGCUCUGCUGAGGACGUUUCCUUUGUGAUUGGAAAGGACUUUGCAGAAAGAAGAGAAACCUCCAAAGAGAUGGAUUUAAGGCCGAAAUGCGCCUUUUGAGGGUCCUGCCCACCCUCGUGGUGGUCCUCGGAGCGAGGUGUUAAAUCCAAAGCUACCUUUGAAUUCCCUGACCUCAAACAAGUGCACCUGCUGGAACUGCGGAGGGCUCUCUUCAGCCUCCUUUACUUUUCUGCAACCAGCGAAACAUCUUACAAGUACAGGAAGAGAAAGAAUCUCCCCCAUCUCCUCUCCUUUCUCCUCGACCUCACCUUCUCGAGGCAAGCCGUGUUCACAAGCUCAUGCUCCUAUUUAAUAACACACGUAGGUUUUCCAAAAACUUGGAGAGGGGGCAGGAUGGUUAGCUUGGUUUUCAGAAAAAGGGAGGAGAUCCUCCUAUAUACAUUUCUCUGAAACUUGCUUGUAAUGUAUCAUAGACCUCCUGCAAAUCGAAAGCUACAGAUUUCAUGCAAUUGUUUUAACAGCUUCUGACUUGCUAUUGGAUAGAUGGGCCAGCUCUUUAUGCGGUGCAAUGUGCUACACUUCAGUCAACCAGAUCUCUCAUGGUAGACACACACACACACACACACACACACACACACACACAGUUUCCAGGGUGUUUUAUUACUUGUGCAUGCUUCACCACAAAACAGUGCUGCAGUGGAAAUCAUUGCAUGUAUACACUCAGAUAUUUGUUAAUAAAUGGACUGGUGGACAAAUGGAUGGAUGGGUCGUUGUUGGAUUUGUGUCUCUUCAGUGCCGUUCUUGGACCACACCCAAUACAGAUUUAGAGGAAGACAACUCAGAUUUAUGCUUUGAGUGGGAGCCCUGGAGCAAAGGCCCAGCCCAGUUUUGCUGGGAGGGGACACUGUAUAGCCAAGAGGAGGAGGAGCCCUGCUGGUGAGCCUUUUCAGCCAGAGCCAACCUUCCAUGUUUCUCCAGCCUGGUUUUCCUGGAGUCAGCAGGGCGGUGGCAGUGGCCAAGGUGGAUGGGAGAGACCCACUGGGGAGGGAAGAAGACUGCCAAGGGAGGCUCUUCCCUGGGAUCCCCGACUCAUCUCCUCCAUCAGUGGACACACAAAAGCCUCCAAAGGACCCUGCUCUUCGCCCACUACAGACGACCUCCCAGGGUCCCCGGGGAGGAGCCCGAGU